UCACUCUGUCGCCUGUGCUGGAAUGCAGUGGUGUGAUCUCGGUUCACUGCAGUCUCUUUCACUGCUUUGGUGCCUGUCCAGUAGGAAGUUCUGCCUCUUGGCUGAUCUCACCCUGACAUGCUGCAGUUUUCUGGGUAACGCUGUGUGGAAGUUUACGAAGAGACCUGGUCCGGAUUCAAGCUUUCUGUUCCCAUUCUACUUUCUGAAAUGCCCACCAAAAGACAUGGACCCCUGGCAUCUCAUGACCACUCAGAACUUAAAGUAUAAACAAAAAAAGAAACAUGCAGUCCACCAGCUAUGAGUCAUGAGGAAGGAAACAACAGACCUGGAACUGGGAAGAAUACUGAGUCGGUAAUCAAAAACUUGUCGAUAAAGAAGAGCCC